rnacentral:rRNA from 2 species
GUUCGGGGUGUAAGCGCAGUAAUGUGUGUAGCUGACGAAUACUAAUCGAUCGAAGACUUAAUCAA